rnacentral:rRNA from 1 species
UACACACCGCCCGUCACACCAUGGGAAUCAAAUGCUCCAGAAGUGGCUGAGCCAACCCGCAAGGGGGGCAGGUCCCCAAGGAGUGUUUGGUAACUGGGGUG